AUACGUAGGGGUCGAGCGUGGUCCGGAAUGAUUGGGCGUAAAGGGCGCGUAGGCGGCGCGGUAAGUCUGGAGUGAAAGUCCUGUUUUCAAGAUGGGAAUUGCUUUGGAUACUGAUGGGCUUGAGUGCAGGAGAGGUUAUCGGAAUUCCCGGUGUAGCGGUGAAAUGCGUAGAGAUCGGGAGGAACACCAGUGGCGAAGGCGGGUAACUGGACUGCAACUGACGCUGAGGCGCGAAAGUGUGGGGAGCAAACAGGAUUAGAUACCCUGGUAGUCCACACUGUAAACGAUGAAUGCUAGGUGUAAGAGGUAUCGACCCCUUUUGUGCCGGAGUUAACACAAUAAGCAUUCCGCCGGGGGAGUACGGCCGCAAGGUUGAAACUUAAAGGAAUUGACGGGG
rnacentral:rRNA from 1 species